UGCCAGACUCCUACGGGAGGCAGCAGUGAGGAAUAUUGGUCAAUGGCCGAGAGGCUGAACCAGCCAAGUCGCGUGAGGGAAGACGGCCCUACGGGUUGUAAACCUCUUUUGUCGGGGAGCAAAGCGAACCACGUGUGGUUCAUUGAGAGUACCCGAAGAAAAAGCAUCGGCUAACUCCGUGCCAGCAGCCGCGGUAAUACGGAGGAUGCGAGCGUUAUCCGGAUUUAUUGGGUUUAAAGGGUGCGCAGGCGGGCUGUUAAGCCGGCGGUAAAAAUUCAGGGCUCAACCCUGUCGAGCCGUCGGAACUGGCAGUCUUGAGUGGGCGAGAAGUAUGCGGAAUGCGUGGUGUAGCGGUGAAAUGCAUAGAUAUCACGCAGAACGCCGAUUGCGAAGGCAGCAUACCGGCGCCCAACUGACGCUGAGGCACGAAAGCGUGGGGAUCGAACAGGAUUAGAUACCCUUGUAG
rnacentral:rRNA from 1 species